rnacentral:rRNA from 1 species
CCUACGGGCGGCAGCAGUGGGGAAUUUUGCGCAAUGCUCGUAAGAGUGACGCAGCGACGCCGCGUGAAUGACGAAGGCCUUCGGGUCGUAAAGUUCUUUCGACAGGGAAGAAAAUGCCUAUAAGUAACUGUGUAUGUAUUGACGGUACCUGUAUAAGCAGCACCGGCUAACUCCGUGCCAGCAGCCGCGGUAAUACGGAGGGGGCGAGCGUGGGUCGGAUGGACUGGGCGUAAAGAGCACGUAGGCGGUGUUGUAAGUCAUUAGUCAAAGACUAGAGCUCAACUUUAGUAAGGCUAGUGAGACGAUAAUACUAGAGUAUCAGAGAGGAUUGCAGAAUUCCUGGUGUAGCGGUGAAAUGCGUAGAGAUCAGGAGGAAUACCGUUAGCGAAGGCGGCAAUCUGGCUGGAAACUGACGCUGAGGUGCGAAAGCGUGGGUAGCAAACAGGAUUAGAUACCCGAGUAGUC